rnacentral:misc_RNA from 1 species
AAGUCGUAACAAGGUUUCCGUAGGUGAACCUGCGGAAGGAUCAUUAACGGUCUUUGUCUCCUGAUGAUGAUGACGAUGGAGGCUAAAGCUACCCUGUGAUGCGUUGAAUGUUUGAGUGUGCGGUCAGAGUCAUGUAAAAGUGGCGACCGCAUCCUUUUUCUCAUCCCAACUCUGUCCAACGUCUUAUUCAUCUACGUGUCUCCCUCGGGGAGCACACUCUAACCGAAAACUGCCAGCAACGGAUCACUCGGUUCUC